GAAUUGGAGGUUGGUGCCUUAGGGGAUUUUUUCCCUAACUUAACCGAGAGUCAUCUAGACCAAUAUGAAGUGUACCAUACUGCUGUAUUUCCAUCUUGUUUCCCUUCUGGGUAUACAAUUUAAAGUGUCCAUGAAAAUUAAGAACUUGAAUUGAAGGGGAUGUCAUCUAUGCUAGAUGGACUAGCCAUGUCAGAUGCAGAAAUGCUUGAUGCCAACAUGGAGUUGGUAGGUUUAGGCCCUGCAUAAUAACGUCUCGAUGCUGUCAGGCAUCUAUAUAAUUUUCCUUAGAUUUCUAAUGCCGACUCUCACAAUGUAAUGCACUUCUGGCUCCUCUUCUUCCUCUUUUUUACUGAUCGAGUGAUCCCUACAAGGAGAUAUUUAAUGUAUACUAGAUUGUAGAGUAUAGGCUGGAAAGUUUCUCACUUCUUGUACUACUAGAGUUAAUUUAUCUUGUUCUGAUUACGGAGCAGCAUUUUGUCGCAUCAUUUUAAUUAAUCAAGUUCGCAGGUGGGAGUUUAACUUACUUGUUAAUAGGAUAUCUCAAGCAAUGCUCCAUACUUGUAUGACAAUCUGGUCGAGAGGGAUGGAGUUACGAAUUGGAGAAAGCGCAGAGACUAGGAGUGUAGGGGGAGCUGCAUCCAAGUAAAUGUAUCACAUCAUUAUGCUGGUGCGUCCUGAUGGCAAGAUUGUUGUCUUGGGCCUUGAAGAGAUGCAGUUUCACUGCAUGAUGUAGAAGUUUGGAUCUUCAUGUUAAAGUGGAAGCAAUUCGGUCCGAGGUUGAGAUCCUAUUGGUGUUGAUUUUGUGCUGUUAGAAUGACGGAGGUUUGUUGGCUGGUUCCGCCUCUUCGUGGGGUUCAGCUAAC